AUGGUUCUCCAGUCAGUGGGACCUUCUGUGUACUCUGAGCAAGGGCACCUGCUUCCCUACAGGAGCAGCACAGACAAGGAGUUUCAACUGAGAGAAUUCAGCUGGGGGAAGAAGACACCGUGCAGUGGAAUGAGACUGCCUGUUGCUGCCAAGUACGGUGUUGCAGGCAAACUGCAGUCCUGCUGCUCAAAUGGUAAGCACCGCACAGGUAAAUAUUGUAUAUUCAACACAGCUUUUAUUCUCAUUUUCACUUUGAAAUUUAUUGUUAAUGAUAAAAUUUGCUCAUUAAUCCAGUCCAAAAGAACUUGCUUUUGCUCUUUGAAUUUCUUUUCACUUCUGAGCUGGACAGGGCUUUAUUGGGAAACUGACUUAGCAGUAUAAAACUUUAGCUAUGAUGCCAAAAAAAGAGGGGGGAAAAAUGGUAUGUUGCCCGUUUUAUAGAACUAUGACUAUCACAUUACCUCCGAGUACCUUAAAAACCAUAGGACAGAAAAUGGAAGUGACACAGCAGGACAAAGGCAAAGCCAACAGAACUCAGGUCUCCUGUCUGAGCCCAAUACUCUCUAUGCAGUAUGUUACAUUUCUAUCAAAGAGUCAGGAACACCUGAAAAUAUCAAAAACCAUAAUGCAUGCAAAUGUACGUAUACAAUCUUUAACAAACUAGCUGUGAAGAUAUCCUCUUGAUUGUGAGGCAGGGGAUGCUACAUGAUCAGUUUGUUAGCACGUUUACUGAAAUACAACACCCAGAUAAGAUUAGAAACUGGAUCUGGAUCAUUUAGCAAUGCAGUGAGUAACAGCACCAUGAAUACUACACACAAUUUCUGCAGCAACUGAGACAAAAGGCAGGAUCACUUGUUAACUGACUCAGUUAACAGCUCAGUGAGCUGGCUGAACCAUAUUUAUAGCAAGUGAUGGUUACUAGGAUAGUGUAAUCAAUGGCCUUAAAAUAGAUAAAUGUCAACUCAAAUUAUGAUUCACUAGCAAGAACUUAGGUAAAUGAAAAACAUUAAAACUUUACAAAUCUAGAAUUUUCUCAUGAAAAUGGCAUAGCGCUCAUCAAAGAAUUAAUUAUAUUUUUUUGAAAAAGGAAAGAAAUAUUAGAAACUUUUACUGACCAGCUUUUAUUUUUUUAAAGAAUGGUCCAGUGGGCAUGAGUUAUAGGUCUUAUGAAACAACUGCAAUCACACAAUUUUGCCAGAAAAGCUCUAAUUCUGUCUGUGUCUAACAUGAGUUAAAGCUUUAUAUAAAAACUUUGCCUCUUGGAAAAAAUGCAUUGUUAAAGUUCACAUUAUAGCAAAAAAGGCACCCAGUUUUAGGUGCUGUUCCAGUGAUGAUCUGUGUGAAAAUUGUUUUAUUUUAACAAAGGGAAAUGUUUCUCUUAUGAUUCAUUUUUUCUGAACUACAUAGUGUAAUCAUAAACUAUCUAGUAAUUUAGUACCUGGCUUCUUUGGAGUGAUUAUCAGUAGCCAAGUAUCUUGGGAAAUAAAGCUGAUACAGCUAUCA
rnacentral:lncRNA from 1 species